rnacentral:rRNA from 1 species
CGCUCGACAUCAGAGUUUGAUCCUGGCUCAGGACGAACGCUGGCGGCGUGCUUAACACAUGCAAGUCGAACGAGAAUUUGGCGGAACUCUCUUUCGGGAGAAGGAAGUUGAAGGAAAGUGGCGAACGGGUGAGUAACACGUGAGCAACCUACCUUACACAAAGGGAUAGCCACUGGAAACGGUGAUUAAUACCCUAUGAUACUUAAAAUUCACAUGAAUUUUAAGUCAAAGCGAUUUAGCGGUGCAAGAUGGUCUCGCGUCCCAUUAGCUAGUUGGUAAGGUAAAAGCUUACCAAGGCUACGAUGGGUAGCCGGCCUGAGAGGGUGACCGGCCACACUGGAACUGAGACACGGUCCAG